rnacentral:rRNA from 1 species
UACGUAGGGGGCAAGCGUUGUCCGGAUUUAUUGGGCGUAAAGAGCGUGUAGGCGGCCAGACAGGUCAGCUGUGAAAACUCGAGGCUCAACCUCGAGACGUCGGUUGAAACCGUCUGGCUAGAGUCCGGAAGAGGAGAGUGGAAUUCCCGGUGUAGCGGUGAAAUGCGCAGAUAUCAGGAGGAACACCGAUGGCGAAGGCAGCUCGCUGGGACGGUACUGACGCUGAGGCGCGAAAGCGUGGGGAGCGAACAGG